AAUCAGAGAACUUUUUGCCAUGAAAGGUUAUCUUCCGGAGGAGUUGUCAAUCAUUGCUGUAUCUGGCGAUGAGAAUACGUUGACGGAUGAAUUAUGGACGGCAGUUACGGAAGCCAAAAUUAGACCCUUUUUACAUCUCGAUGGUAUUUAAAUCUCUCUUUUAAAAAAAAAAAAAAAAAAAUUUACUGUGUAUUCUGCUGAUACACUUGCACUAUCUCCAGGGGAUGAACUUUUGAGACUUAACAUAAUAAUGGUGGACAGCCUUUUCUGGGCAGAGCUCCAUGGUUCUCAAUCAACUUUGCUAAUACUCUCUAAACACAUCACAAAACACCCUGCGUUCUCCGAUUUUUGUCAAG
rnacentral:lncRNA from 1 species